ACUCACAUAUAAACCAAAGCAAUCAGAAAAGGUGUACCUGGAACAUGUUUCUGUGGACUGUAAACUGUGCCAGUUGGUGUGUUGGUUGUCCUGGAAAUUGAGAUGACAAUGGAGUUCAAUUGCUGGAACAGCAGAAUAGCUGUAAGAAUAAUUUCUAUACACCUGAAACUUGAAGCACUUGGCAGGUCACUGUUUUAUUAGUGUUUUACAUAUGUCCAUGGGGAGUGAAUAUUAGAAUUAGAAUUCCAGUUCCUGUUGGUUCAGCCUCAAAGCUAGGGUCCACAUAGGUACCACGCUGAACGGACGUGAAGCCUGAGUUUUUCAGGCUCGGAACUCUUAGCAGACAGCUGUUGGUUAGAGUUGAGACUGGUGUUGAGGGACCUAGAGCCAUGCAGGUGUUUGGUGGUCUCUUGGGUUUGAACCAGGGAUAGCAGGGAUCGAAGGCUCCUGAGUAGUGAGUGCCUGCUGUGUACUAAGCACUUAGUAGGUUCGGAAUCCCAUUAGGCAUGUAUGCUGUGAUUCCUUUUGUGGAUUCUCAUUGGAAAGUCAAACCUGGCCUCCUGGAGGCCAAGUGUCUCCACUCCCUCAGGACAUACACCCUUUUGUUGUAGGACAGACAGUUAAACCUAGCACGAGCCAGCACCCCAGUGAAGGCAAUAGAGAACUCUGUUCUAGACAUUCUCUGAUCCUCAAACUCCAGAGCAGAUUUUGAUGUCACUCGGUACUGUGGUCAAUGCUGCCCCCUGCUGGAAGAGUUUAUUAAAGUAAGGAAUACAUAAGUUUCUCAGAUAAGGCUACUUCAUUUAGACUCCAUUCAGGAGUAAGUGAGGGUGUUGUAUGUGUUGAAGACCUAAGGAUUCUGCAGGUUCUCUGUUAAAAUGCCACCGGACCCUCACUUCCCGCAAUAAGGGGAGGGGUUUCUGAAGAUGGCUAUGCUACCCUCUGAUCCCCACCUAGGCUUGGGACAAGCUUGUCAAGAUCUUCUUUAUUCAUUGGACCAAGCAAGACGGGCCUGUGGACAAACUGCCUUCUGAUUGGCCCACCACUGGGCCCUUCAAUAGCCAACUGAUUCCUUCCAUUGCAGGUCUUAACAAUGUUUAUGUGCAGCUUUUAGCAAGCUGAGUAUUUAAACAUUUUCCUAGGCAUUUCGUGGUCAAACCAGAGAAGAAAGACUGCGUUCUAGAGCCUUAUAGGAUGGCUCAGAUUUGCACUGGAAUCGGGAACAUUCUCUCUCUCUCUCUCUCUCUCUCUCUCUCUCUCUCUCUCUCUCUCUCUCUCUCUCCCUCUCUUUGUCUCUCUCUCGUCUUUCAGCAGAGUCCCAUAUAGCUCAGAGUAUCCUUGAAUUCCUGAUUUUGCUGCCUCUAUUUCCCAAUUGCGGGGACUGUCUAGCCCAGUUUCAUGUUCUGAGUCUUAAAAAAACUAACCCAGAUCCCCAAUCAGGUCUGUUUUCUGGCUUUCCAGCUGAACCUCUUGAUUCUCCAUGACGUUUCUAGCAUACUAGAAAGCUCAAGUGUCCUAUCAGCAUCAAUAUCCAAAAAUUUACACAGAGAUUUAAACCAACGUAUAGUAUGCAUUUUUGGGUUACUUACUGUAUUAGGGUUUCUGCCGCUGCGAUAAAAUACUAAUGACC
rnacentral:lncRNA from 1 species